rnacentral:rRNA from 1 species
GUGCCAGCCGCCGCGGUAAUACGUAGGGGGCGAGCGUUGUCCGGAUUUAUUGGGCGUAAAACGCUUGUAGGCGGCCACGCUGCGUCGGACGUGAAAUCUCCCGGCUCAACUGGGAGGGGUCGUGCGAUACGGGCGGGCUCGAGGCCGGUAGGGGGACGCGGAAUUCCCGGUGUAGUGGUGGAAUGCGUAGAUAUCGGGAGGAACACCAGUGGCGCAGGCGGCGUCCUGGACCGGCACUGACGCUGAGGAGCGAAAGCGUGGGGAGCGAUCCGGAUUAGAUACCCGUGUAGUCC